UACGUAGGGUGCGAGCGUUGUCCGGAAUUAUUGGGCGUAAAGAGCUCGUAGGCGGUUUGUCGCGUCUGCCGUGAAAGUCCGGGGCUCAACUCCGGAUCUGCGGUGGGUACGGGCAGACUAGAGUGAUGUAGGGGAGACUGGAAUUCAUGGUGUAGCGGUGAAAUGCGCAGAUAUCAGGAGGAACACCGAUGGCGAAGGCAGGUCUCUGGGCCAUAACUGACGCUGAGAAGCGAAAGCAUGGGGAGCGAACAGG
rnacentral:rRNA from 1 species